rnacentral:tRNA from 1 species
GCGGGGGUGGCGGAACUGGCAGACGCGCUGGAUUUAGGUUCCAGUGGAGUAAUCCGUGCAGGUUCGAUUCCUGUCACCCGUA